rnacentral:rRNA from 1 species
AAGCGGUGGAGCAUGUUAGGUUUAAUUCGAAGCAACGCGAAGAACCUUUACCAGGUUCUUGACAUCCCGAUGCUUAUUUCUAGAGAUAGAAAGUUACUUCGGUACAUCGGUGACAGGUGGUGCAUGGUUGUCGUCAGCUCGUGUCGUGAGAUGUUGGGUUAAGUCCCGCAACGAGCGCAACCCCUACGUUUAGUUGCUAACGCGUGAAGGCGAGCACUCUAGACGAACUGCCGUUGACAAAACGGAGGAAGGUGGGAUGACGUCAAAUCAUCAUGCCCCUUAUGUUCUGGGCUACACACGUGCUACAAUGGCCGGUACAGACGGACGCAAAGCCGCGAGGUGGAGCAAAUCCUAAAAAGCCGGUCUCAGUUCGGAUUGCAGGCUGCAAUUCGCCUGCAUGAAGUCGGAAUCGCUAGUAAUCGCAGGUCAGCAUACUGCGGUGAAUACGUUCCCGGGCCUU